GACGGAAGGUGCAAGCGUUGCUCGGAAUCAUUGGGCGUAAAGCGCGUGUAGGCGGCCCGAUAAGUCCGCUGUGAAAGUCCAGGGCUCAACCCUGGGAUGCCGGUGGAUACUGUCGGGCUCGAGUCCGGAAGAGGCGAGUGGAAUUCCUGGUGUAGCGGUGGAAUGCGCAGAUAUCAGGAGGAACACCAGUAGCGAAGGCAGCUCGCUGGGACGGUACUGACGCUAGGCGCGA
rnacentral:rRNA from 1 species